rnacentral:rRNA from 1 species
GUGGGGAAUCUUAGACAAUGGGGGCAACCCUGAUCUAGCCAUGCCGCGUGAGUGAUGAAGGCCUUAGGGUCGUAAAGCUCUUUCGCUGGGGAAGAUAAUGACGGUACCCAGUAAAGAAACCCCGGCUAACUCCGUGCCAGCAGCCGCGGUAAUACGGAGGGGGUUAGCGUUGUUCGGAAUUACUGGGCGUAAAGCGCGCGUAGGCGGAUUGGAAAGUUGGGGGUGAAAUCCCGGGGCUCAACCCUGGAAUGGCCUUCAAAACUCCCAGUCUUGAGGUCGAGAGAGGUGAGUGGAAUUCCGAGUGUAGAGGUGAAAUUCGUAGAUAUUCGGAAGAACACCAGUGGCGAAGGCGACUCACUGGCCCAAUACUGACGCUGAGGCGCGAAAGCGUGGGGAGCAAACAGGAUUAGAAACCCCUGUAGUCC